rnacentral:rRNA from 1 species
AGGGUUCGAUCAUGGCUCAGGACGAACGCUGGCGGCGUGCCUAACACAUGCAAGUCGAACGAAGCUCUGCGAUACAAGACUUCGGUCAAGUUGAACGGAUGACUGAGCGGCGGACGGGUGAGUAACGCGUGGAUAACCUGCCUCACACAGGGGGAUAACAGUUAGAAAUGACUGCUAAUACCGCAUAAGCGCACGGUACCGCAUGGUACAGUGUGAAAAACUCCGGUGGUGUGAGAUGGAUCCGCGUCUGAUUAGGUAGUUGGUGAGGUAACGGCCCACCAAGCCGACGAUCAGUAGCCGACCUGAGAGGGUGACCGGCCACAUUGGGACUGAGACACGGCCCAA